UGGGGAAUUUUGGACAAUGGGGGAAACCCUGAUCCAGCCAUCCCGCGUGUGCGAUGAAGGCCUUCGGGUUGUAAAGCACUUUUGGCAUGAAAGAAACGUCAUGGGUUAAUACCCCGUGAAACUGACGGUACCUGCAGAAUAAGCACCGGCUAACUACGUGCCAGCAGCCGCGGUAAUACGUAGGGUGCAAGCGUUAAUCGGAAUUACUGGGCGUAAAGCGUGCGCAGGCGGUUCGGAAAGAAAGAUGUGAAAUCCCAGAGCUCAACUUUGGAACUGCAUUUUUAACUACCGGGCUAGAGUGUGUCAGAGGAAGGUGGAAUUCCGCGUGUAGCAGUGAAAUGCGUAGAUAUGCGGAGGAACACCGAUGGCGAAGGCAGCCUCCUGGGAUAACACUGACGCUCAUGCACGAAAGCGUGGGGAGCAAACAGG
rnacentral:rRNA from 1 species